CAGGUCAGCAUACUGCCGUGAAUACGUUCCCGGGCCCUUGUACACACCGCCCGUCACACCAUGAGAGUUGGGAAUACCCGAAGCCUGUGAGCCAACCGUAAGGGGGCAGCAGUCGAAGGUAGAAUCAAUGAUUGGGGUGAAGUCGUAACAAGGUAGC
rnacentral:rRNA from 1 species